AAGGAGCAUCUAGAUUCCUUCGGGAAUCCAGAGCCACUACGUCGGCAAAUGUUCGACGGUGGUCAGCUCAUGGGUGGAACGUUGACUAUUCGGCACGAUCAAUCGGUUUCUGCUAGUACUGCUUCGGCGUGGAACACAGGAGAAGAGGGAUCGGUGUCGGGCACGUUGUUGGGUGUCUGAGGGUGCGGCCGUAAGCUUGUUCCUUCGUUCCGGCCCCAGUGAACUCGUCCUCAGGACGGGGUGGUGGGUGGCUGGUCGUUGUUUGAGAACUGCACAGUGGACGCGAGCAUCUGU
rnacentral:misc_RNA from 1 species